rnacentral:rRNA from 1 species
GAUGAACGCUGGCGGCGUGCUUAACACAUGCAAGUCGAACGAACCUUCGGGUUAGUGGCGGACGGGUGAGUAACGCGUGAGAAUCUGCCCUCAGGAGGGGGACAACAGCUGGAAACGGCUGCUAAUACCCCAUAUGCCGCGAGGUGAAAUGAAUUUCGCCUGAGGAUGAGCUCGCGUCUGAUUAGCUAGUUGGUGUAGGUAAUGGCUCACCAAGGCAUCGAUCAGUAGCUGGUCUGAGAGGAUGAUCAGCCACACUGGGACUGAGACACGGCCCAGACUCCUACGGGAGGCAGCAGUGGGGAAUUUUCCGCAAUGGGCGAAAGCCUGACGGAGCAACGCCGCGUGAGGGAUGAAGGCCCUUGGGUUGUAAAGCUCUUUCGUCGGGGAAGAAAAUGACUGUACCCGAAUAAGAAGGUCCGGCUAACUUCGUG